UACGAAGGGGGCUAGCGUUGCUCGGAAUUAUUGGGCGUAAAGGGCGCGUAGGCGGCCUGGCAAGUGACGGGUGAAAGCCCUCGGCUCAACCGAGGAACUGCCUGUCAUACUGCCGGGCUUGAGUCCGGGAGAGGUGAGUGGAAUUCCCAGUGUAGCGGUGAAAUGCGUAGAUAUUGGGAGGAACACCAGUGGCGAAGGCGGCUCACUGGACCGGAACUGACGCUGAGGCGCGAAAGCGUGGGGAGCAAACAGG
rnacentral:rRNA from 1 species